rnacentral:lncRNA from 1 species
GGCCUGUAUUGUAUCAAGUGACCGUAAACGCAUCAAUUGUCAUCAGAUCCAUUGUUCAGAUUUUUUUUUUUUUUUUUUUUUUUUUUUUUUUUUGCAGAAACUCCCCCUUUUCCCCCUAGAAAAAGCCAGAGUCUCAUCACACUGAAGUAACCUAAUUCCUGUGUGACCCGCCUCGGUUCACCUUUUCGCUAAACCAGUUUGACGCGUCGCUGUAGUAAAGGGAAGUGAAGGACUCUAACUUUGUAAAUCCUGUUUCUGUUGUCGCAUUGCAACUGAAACAGUUUUAGUAGGCUUUGUUUCUCUGAUUCAGCACUGAGCCUUUUUCAUCAUGAACAUGUUCAGGAGAGAUAAAGGCUCAGCAGCACCAACCCCAGUGGUCCCACCUAGACCCAGCACGGAGGAGUUGGACAACCCCGUCAGACACAGCCUGAACAAAGCGGAUGCAGCAAUUAGACCUGUGCCACAGAGGACUGGGGUGAUGGGUGUCGUGCAGAAGGUCAACCCGUUCAAGUCUACCUCCCAGGCACCCUCCACUGUCAACAAAGCUCCUUCUGAGUCACUGCAACAGGCUGCUGCCCCAGACUCCACACAGAACCCUGGUAUGCUGAAAGGGGUCAUGCAGAAGGUCAACCCGUUCAAGUCCGCCUCACAGGUCUCAUCUGCAGACAGUCGAGCUGCUUCCUCGGAGUCACUGGAACAGGGAAGUGUUGCUGACUCUGCGCAGGUUCAGAACCCUGGGAUGUUGAAAGGCGUCAUACAGAAAGUAAACCCCUUCAAGUCAAGUUCUGCACAGGUGUCAAAGGAGGAUCCUCAAAAUGACUCUGCAGACCCACAAGAGGCUGGGAAACUUGAAGGCAAACAGAACCCAGGGAUGUUCGUAGGGAUGAUGCAGAAAGUCAACCCCUUCAAAUCCUCCUCACAGCCACAGGACACUCGGUCCAUACACAGCGAUCUCUCCUCCAGUGGCGGAAGCUUGGCAGACAAUAACAAUGUGCCGGAGAAGCAGAACCCAGGGAUGUUCAAAGGGAUGAUGCAGAAAGUAAAUCCGUUCAAGUCUUCCACACAGAUGCCAAAGGAGGAUUGUCAGACAGACUCUGCUGAUCUCCAAACAGGCUCCUCGGUCAAGAUGCAGGACACCCAGUCGCUUCACAGUGACCACUCCUCCAGCUCUGGCAGCUUGGAUGACAGCACCAUAGACAGACAUACGAUUUGGUACGCCGACACUGAAGCCAGCUGUGAAGUGAAAAGCCAGCCACCUGUGGCAGAGAAGAAGAGAUUUGGGACUUUCAGAAUAAGGAGGAUUCUCCCCGGUGCAUUGUUCAGCUCUGGAACCAAGGACUCCACCAAAGCAUCAUCUGACUCUCAGCCCUCGCCUCAGGAGGAGGCAGUAGAAGUCCAAGUGCUAGAGAUGGCUGAAGUACCGGUGCCCAGUGAAGGAGCAGCUCUGGACCCUCUAGAAGUAUGCUCACCUUAUGAUCUAUAAUCAUAUGUGUGUCAGAUGGGUUUCCCUGUGUAUUUUGUAAGAGAUUUCCUCGCACAUACAAAAGCUGUCAG